UAAAGCAUCGGAACGUGCCCUGAAGUGGGGGAUAACGUAGCGAAAGUUACGCUAAUACCGCAUAUUCUGUGAGCAGGAAAGCAGGGGAUCGCAAGACCUUGCGCUUUGGGAGCGGCCGAUGUCGGAUUAGCUAGUUGGUGAGGUAAAGGCUCACCAAGGCAACGAUCCGUAGCGGGUCUGAGAGGAUGAUCCGCCACACUGGGACUGAGACACGGCCCAG
rnacentral:rRNA from 1 species